UUUUCAUUUGUGGCUUCUCGUAACUCUGAUUGAUAUUAGCUUGCUUGAUAUGCUUCAAUUUUCUGGUUCAAUGUACUUAUUUUUACCAUUUUCUCUAUGCACUACAAAUGUCAUGUUUGAGCAAUUUAUUCUUCACUUGUUUGAGCAUUAGAAGUGUUAAACAUAUCCCUAAUCCUAGGAAAUAUAAUCUGAGACUGCGCAAGGCAAAGGGGUGUUAGAGAGGACGAGCACGAGUGAAAGCUUCCGUUGAUGGAGAGAUAUUGUUAUAGUGUAGAGGGUAAAGGAUAGUCGGCCUUGUAUCAAAACACUCACCAUAUUAGCAAAAUUGCCCACCAUUCCUUCACGUUAAAGUUUGUGAGGAGAACAAUCAAGUCUAACCUGAUCAGAGAAACUUUAUUUUUAAUAAUAUAUUUGUGUUACUCAACCUCUAAGUCUCACAGCAUAGUUCAAAAUAGGGUUAAUAAUAUAUGUAGUUAUUAAGUUUUUUU